rnacentral:rRNA from 1 species
CGUGUCUCUAGUGUCAGCCGCCGCGGUAAUACGUAGGGAGCAAGCGUUAUCCGGAUUUACUGGGUGUAAAGGGUGCGUAGGCGGCUUGGUAAGUCAGAUGUGAAAUGUAUGGGCUCAACCCAUGCACUGCAUUUGAAACUAUUGAGCUUGAGUGAAGUAGAGGUAGGCGGAAUUCCCUGUGUAGCGGUGAAAUGCGUAGAGAUAGGGAGGAACACCAGUGGCGAAGGCGGCCUACUGGGCUUUAACUGACGCUGAGGCACGAAAGCGUGGGUAGCAAACAGGAUUAGAUACCCUGGUAGUCCACGCUGUAAACGAUGAUUACUAGGUGUGGGGGGUCUGACCCCUUCCGUGCCGGAGUUAACACAAUAAGUAAUCCACCUGGGGAGUACGACCGCAAGGUUGAAACUCAAAUGAAUUGGCGGG